GAUGAACGCUGGCGGCGCGCCUAACCACAUGCAAGUCGAACGGUUAAAGCACCUUUUAGGUGUGUAUAAAGUGGCGAACGGCUGAGUAACACGUGGGCAACCUGCCCUCCUCUUGGGGAUAGCCUCGGGAAACCGAGGAUAAUACCCGAUACUUCAAUGUGGCCGCAUGACGACAUUGAGAAAGCUUUUGCGGAGAAGGAUGGGCCCGCGGCCUGUUAGCUUGUUGGUGGGGUAGAGGCCUACCAAGGCAAUGAUGGGUAGCUGGGUUGAGAGACCGACCAGCCAGAUUGGGACUGAGACACGGCCCAGACUCCUACGGGAGGCAGCAGUGGGGAAUCUUGCACAAUGGGCGAAAGCCUGAUGCAGCGACGCCGCGUGCGGGAAGAAGGCCUUCGGGUUGUAAACCGCUUUCAGCAGGGACGAGGCGAAAGUGACGGUACCUGCA
rnacentral:rRNA from 2 species